AGUGAACGCUGGCGGUAGGCCUAACACAUGCAAGUCGAACGGCAGCACCGUAAGAGCUUGCUCUUACGGGUGGCGAGUGGCGGACGGGUGAGGAAUAUACCGGAAUCUACUCUUUCGUGGGGGAUAACGUAGGGAAACGUACUCUAAUACAGCAUCCGACCUACGGGUGAAAGCAGGGGAUCUUUGGACCUUUUGCGAUUGAAUGAGCCGAUGUCGGAGUAGUUAGUUGGCGGGGUCAAGGCCAACGAAGGCGACGAUCGGUAGCCGGUCUGGCAGGGUGAUCAGCCACACUGGAACUGAGACAGAGUCCAGACACCUGCAGUAGGCAGCAGCGUAGAAUACUGGGCAAUGGGGGGAAGCCUAAUCCAGCGAGAGCGCGUAGGGGAAGAAGGCGUUCGGGUGGGAAAGCCCUUAUGUUGGUAGAGAAAAGCAGCAGGUUAAUCCGCCGCUGUACUGACGGUACCCAAAGAAUAAGCACCGGCUAACUUCGUG
rnacentral:rRNA from 1 species